CAGAGCCACCGCCGAGCACCAGCACAAAACCACCUCUCUACCCCUCUCCUGGUGUGACUGCUGCUGAUGUGGUGUCUCAGGGAGGAAGGACUGAAGAAAUCUUAGAUCUGAUAUCAUCUGUGGGGAACGACACAGGACUGCAGUCCCAGCACCAUCCUGGAGAUGUGCUGUUUGAAGUCACUGCUGAAAUCAAACCCAAGGACUGGAUUCCUCACGGUGGAAGUGAGGUCCAAAAGGGUCUCCUUGAAUCUCUGAA